AUUAGAUGAGCGCUAUAUUAGAUUAGCUAGUUGGUGGAGUAAUAGCCUACCAAGGCAAUGAUCUAUAGCUGAUCUGAGAGGAUGAUCAGCCACACUGGAACUGAGAUACGGUCCAGACUCCUACGGGAGGCAGCAGUGGGGAAUAUUGGACAAUGGGCGAAAGCCUGAUCCAGCUAUGCCGCAUGAGUGAAGAAGGCCUUUGGGUUGUAAAGCUCUUUUAGUGAGGAAGAUAAUGACGGUACUCACAGAAGAAGUCCUGGCUAACUCCGUGCCAGCAGCCGCGGUAAUACGGAGAGGGCUAGCGUUAUUCGGAAUUAUUGGGCGUAAAGGGCGCGUAGGCUGAUUAAUAAGUUAAAAGUGAAAUCCCGAGGCUUAACCUUGGAAUUGCUUUUAAAACUAUUAAUCUAGAGAUUGAAAGAGGAUAGAGGAAUUCCUGAUGUAGAGGUAAAAUUCGUAAAUAUUAGGAGGAACACCAGUGGCGAAGGCGUCUAUCUGGUUCAAAUCUGACGCUGAGGCGCGAAGGCGUGGGGAGCAAACAGGAUUAGAUACCCUGGUAGUCCACGCUAUAAACGAUGAAUGUUAAAUAUGGGAAG
rnacentral:rRNA from 1 species